AUGAAGUCUACACCAAAAUUGUUCGGAUCAUGUGCAGUAACUGAUAACACUUGCAAGUGUGCGUAGUGACGGAUCUAGGAUUUUUUUUCCUAUAUGGGUUUCCUUUUUUCGUUGAUCAAAUUUCACACAACCAAACAUUAAAAAUUUCGGGUCGGGUCAGGUCAAAAUUCUCACAACCAACAUAUCUUUAUGUUCCGUUAGCCAUCCACACCUCAAGUUUGUGAGAGUUGAGUUUUCAUGGUCAUCUAUUUGUGAAACUUAGUGUGCAUAAGAUAAAUACUUUUUGUUAAUGAAAAUGAACUUAAAUUUAUUAUCCGCUUUGAGGCUCUAAAAAGCUUGAGACGACCUGAAUUAAGGAUAUAUUUCUACAGCCGUUUCAUCCCAUAUCUAUUGCCUCAAGGCUCAAAGAGGUUGGUCCGUUGGUCUGAUCAACUUCGGCCUACAAGGACUCACAACCCACUUUCACUAAGCCUAUGAAUCAUCUUGAGUUUGUGAAUUUGUUCAGCAAACACGUUCCACAGUUGGCCCAGCCCAUAUCAUCUGCCUCAAAUAGGGUGGACCUGGUGGUCUGCAUCAACCUUGUGUUUGUUCUUUGUGAACCAGAUGCAAAGUAACGGAUCCUGUUGCCACCAACUUGACUGACAUGACGAAAUUAGGGGCGUGCACAAUUGGGUUUGGUUUUUGGGUGAAACCGUAACCGAAGGUUCGGUUUUCAGAUUUUGAAAACAUUUCGGUUGCGGUUUUUUCUAUUUUAGCAACGGUUCGAUUCGUUUUUUCAGUUUUUGAAACAAAUUACGUAAGAUUCAAAACUAAAAGUUGUAUAAUUCAAGGUUUAAGAAUUUUUCUUAAAUGUUUACAUUUAAAUUAAUAUAUUUACUCUUUUUAAUUAAUAUUGUUUACACAAACCUAACAUUCUAAUUUAUUUUAAUUGUUUCUCCAAAGUCUUUAUUAAGAUGUUUUCUUUUAUAAUACUUUGAAAAUCACACAAUUUUUAGGGUUAACUUUGUAGAAUAGUAACCAAGUUUCAAGAGUGUUCUAAUUAGGUCACACAUAAUUUUUUUGUUCCAAUUAGGUUAUUCAAGUUUCAUUUGAUGUUUCAAUCCUAGAUAUUUUACCUAAAUAGAAGGUCAUCCAUCCUAUAUGGCAUUUAUUUAAGUUUUUUAUUUAAAAAAAUUUGUUGACAUGACACAUAAAUGCCAAAUG
rnacentral:lncRNA from 1 species